rnacentral:rRNA from 2 species
GGACUACAAGGGUAUCUAAUCCUGUUUGCUCCCCACGCUUUCGCACCUCAGUGUCAGUGUUGGACCAGGAAGCCGCCUUCGCCACUGAUGUUCCUCCAGAUAUCUACGCAUUUCACCGCUACACCUGGAAUUCCACUUCCCUCUUCCACACUCUAGCAAGGCAGUCUUGAAUGCAAUUCCCAAGUUAAGCCCGGGGAUUUCACACCCAACUUACCAAGCCACCUACGUGCGCUUUACGCCCAGUAAUUCCGAUUAACGCUUGCACCCUCUGUAUUACCGCGGCUGCUGGCAC